UACGAAGGGGGCGAGCGUUGUUCGGAUUUACUGGGCGUAAAGGGCGCGCAGGCGGCCGCAUUUGUCAGGCGUGAAAGCCCCGGGCUUAACCUGGGAACUGCGUUUGAUACGGUGUGGCUAGAGUUCGGGAGAGGAGAGUGGAAUUCCCAGUGUAGAGGUGAAAUUCGUAGAUAUUGGGAAGAACACCGAUGGCGAAGGCAGCCAUCUGGACCGACACUGACGCUGAGGCGCGAAAGCGUGGGGAGCAAACAGG
rnacentral:rRNA from 1 species